AUACGGAGGGUGCAAGCGUUAUUCGGAAUCACUGGGCGUAAAGGGUGCGUAGGCGGUUUGAUAAGUCUGAUGUGAAAUCCUAUGGCUCAACCAUAGAACUGCAUUGGAAACUGUCAGACUAGAAUACUGAGGGGGCAGAUGGAAUUAGUGGUGUAGGGGUAAAAUCCGUAGAUAUCACUAGGAAUACCGAAAGCGAAAGCGAUCUGCUGGGAAGUUAUUGACGCUGAGGCACGAAAGCGUGGGGAGCAAACGGGAUUAGAUACCCUAGUAGUCC
rnacentral:rRNA from 1 species